GGAGAGGUACCGAAGCGGUCAUAACGGGGCGGUCUUGAAAACCGUUAGGGCGCAAGCCCACAUGGGUUCGAAUCCCAUCCUCUCCGCCA
rnacentral:tRNA from 4 species